GGCCUUUAGCUCAGUUGGUAGAGCGCCACGUUUACACCGUGGAUGUCAUCGGUUCGAGCCCGGUAGGGCCCA
rnacentral:tRNA from 1 species